rnacentral:lncRNA from 1 species
AGGGGUUUUUGCCAAAACUAACCCACAACUUGAUUUUAAUUCCAAACAUAUACCCAAACUUGAAUCAAAUGCAAAACUAACCUAAAAGCCUAGUGAAAUUACAGUUCAGCCCCUUGUGACCAAACAAAAAAACAGAAGCCAUUUUUACGAAUAUAGCCCCAGUAAAUCGUCUGAGUCGUCUGAGAUGUUGGAAGUCGUCUGGACGACUGAAGUGUAAGUCGUCUGG